GAAAUGCGAUAAGUAAUGUGAAUUGCAGAAUUCAGUGAAUAAUCGAAUCUUUGAACGCACAUUGCGCCCGCCAGUAUUCUGGCGGGCAUGCCUGUUCGAGCGUCAUUACAACCCUCAGGCCCCCGGGCCUGGCGUUGGGGAUCGGCGGAAGCCCCCUGCGGGCACAACGCCGUCCCCCAAAUACAGUGGCGGUCCCGCCGCAGCUUCCAUUGCGUAAUAGCUAACACCUCGCAACUGGAGAGCGGCGCGGCCACGCCGUAAAACACCCAACUUCUGAAUGUUGACCUCGAAUCAGGUAGGAAUACCCGCUGAACUUAAGC
rnacentral:misc_RNA from 1 species